rnacentral:rRNA from 1 species
UACGGAGGGAGCUAGCGUUGUUCGGAAUUACUGGGCGUAAAGCGCGCGUAGGCGGCUUUGUAAGUUAGAGGUGAAAGCCCGGGGCUCAACCCCGGAACUGCCUUAAAGACUGCAUCGCUUGAAUCCGGGAGAGGUGAGUGGAAUUCCGAGUGUAGAGGUGAAAUUCGUAGAUAUUCGGAAGAACACCAGUGGCGAAGGCGGCUCACUGGACCGGUAUUGACGCUGAGGUGCGAAAGCGUGGGGAGCAAACAGG